rnacentral:misc_RNA from 1 species
AAAGUCGUAACAAGGUCUCCGUUGGUGAACCAGCGGAGGGAUCAUUAGUGAGACUUAGCGCUCCAACCCUUGCGAAUCUACCAUUGCGGCGUUGUUUCGGCGGGUGUGCCAGCGGAUCCGUCCGCCGGCACGCCGCCAGGCCAGCGGAGCCCGCCGGCAGCGCCAAACUCUCAGUUUUAGUGGAAGUCUUCUGAGUGGCAAAACAAAACAAGCAAAACUUUCAACAACGGAUCUCUUGGUUCUG